rnacentral:rRNA from 1 species
GGCCUAACACAUGCAAGUCGAGCGGAUGAGAAGAGCUUGCUCUUCGAUUCAGCGGCGGACGGGUGAGUAAUGCCUAGGAAUCUGCCUGGUAGUGGGGGACAACGUUUCGAAAGGAACGCUAAUACCGCAUACGUCCUACGGGAGAAAGCAGGGGACCUUCGGGCCUUGCGCUAUCAGAUGAGCCUAGGUCGGAUUAGCUAGUUGGUGAGGUAAUGGCUCACCAAGGCGACGAUCCGUAACUGGUCUGAGAGGAUGAUCAGUCACACUGGAACUGAGACACGGUCCAG